UGUAUACCUAUUUUGAUCUUUCCUUUGCUCUUUUUAUAAUUGACUAGAUAGAUAAAAACAUCUGUUCCUUCACUAAAGUCCUGUUUGGAUUGUCAAUUUACCGCACAUUUAAUGGUCUAGAUUUUUCCAAUUGAUACUGAAAAAUAUCCGAGAUCUAACUAUUCUACUCACGCUUGCAGUUGUGUUCCCCUGCACAAUUUUAGCUACAUAUACAAUUAUGUGAUGUCUUCUUCAAAAAGUUUUGUGGACAGCUUUCUUGAUGAAAAGGAAGGCCAUUACAAUCCAAAGAUGUCACCUACGAUACCAAAGGACAAAUGGAGGAAAGGAUCAUAUUGGAUCACACUGGUUAGAAAACAUGCAGAGGCCAUUGUGGAUGAUGAUCUUAUAUUUCCAGUUUUCAAUCAACAUUGCAAGGUAUGACAUUAUUGUUGUUAUUAUGAAAUCAAACCUCACUAAAGCAUGUAGAGUUAAGGGUUUCUUUGCAUUCGACGUAGUUGGUGAUAAUCUAUAAUUUUGCUUCAAUAUACAUAUUAUCUAGAAAGUAUGAAAUCUCCUUACGCACUACUAAAGUCAUAUUCUUUGUGGAAAAAAAGAAAAAAAGAAAAAGAGGUUAGUUUAUUCACACAAAAUUCAUGAAAAUCUCAUAAUCUUAUUGAUGGUAAUAUAGAGGGAUUUUUGUG